GCCGGAGUGGCGGAACAGGCAGACGCGCGCGACUCAAACUCGCGUGAGGGUGACCUCUUGUGGGUUCGAUUCCCACCUCCGGCACCU
rnacentral:tRNA from 1 species